ensembl:lncRNA
CCAUCACCCAAAUCGGGGGUGGGAAUAAAGGCACAUGAACGUUUCGGUGCGGUGUCGGGGUCCUGAGGGACAACAGUGGCACCUACAUCGGCGCACAGCCGCGGGUGUGUAUUUAUUGGGGGACAAGUGGAAAGAUACACAGCACACAAUGACCGGGAGAAAAUCACAGCACAAAGGGGAGCGGAAUGUGGGCUCCGCACUCCCACGCUGCGGUGCCGGGCAGCGGGCAGCGGUGAGGCUCCGCCAUCGAACUUGUUGCUCAACUUACGAGGCGGUUCUCAUCUCCUCAUCAAAAGCCGCCGGGCUUUCUUCAGCCGUAUGGACAAAAAUGUG